UUCAAAAAUACAAAAUAAACAGCUUUUGUUACGUUCACGUCUUCUUUUGUUAGGAGCAAAAAUGCGGGUCCCACAACUCCUUUUGCCAAAAGGAAAGACAUCCGCUUGCUCUUAGUCAAAAAAGAGGCGAGUAAACAACUCCUCCACUAUAAAAGGGUCUGACAGCAAAGAAAUUCAGCGAUCAUUAGCUGGGAUAAGGACCCACUUCCGAGGUUCAGUUCUUUCUCCAGUUAUGAGAUUUCCCUCUGUUGUUUGGUUUGAAUCUUGUUUACACCGAAAAAAAAGGAGAAAAAGUCAUCUUAUGCAAAUUAAGCGUUGAAGCUGUGGUGUUAGUUGGUUGAAGAAUGGUGUCUGCAGGUGGAAAUUGUAAGCUAUGUCCGCCCUGAAUAAGGCCUUUUUAGUGUGUUCCUGGCAAUUACAACUCGGGUUGCCCUGUUACCGGAGGCUAACCCUGGUCGGAGUGUCGGCAUUCAAUUUUUAUAUCGGGUGGGGAAGAAGUGAACUGUUAAGGUAGAGACAAAACUCUCCCAGACUGGCAUGCGACGGGGUGCAUAUUCAACGAAGGCACAAUGUGCGAAGCUGACAUGCCAAAGAAAGCAAAUAGAGUCAGGAUCAAGUGCUCUCAACAUGAAUAAUUUUGUGAACCCAGCUCUAUGGUGAUCGAAGAUGGUGAUGGCAGAUCAAUGAAUUUUCAAAAAUUUUCCAAAAAAAAAGGCCAAGAGAAGUUCUAUCCGUUACAACCAUCUCUCCUUGUGAUGAACAGGUCAUUCUCCAUCAAUAAUAUACAUGAUUAUCUCAGUGUUUUU